GUAGGUCACGAGCGUUGUCCGGAAUUACUGGGUGUAAAGGGAGCGCAGGCGGGUAUGCAAGUUGGGAGUGAAAUACAUGGGCUCAACCCAUGAACUGCUCUCAAAACUGUGUAUCUUGAGUAGUGCAGAGGUAGGCGGAAUUCCCGGUGUAGCGGUGGAAUGCGUAGAUAUCGGGAGGAACACCAGUGGCGAAGGCGGCCUACUGGGCACCAACUGACGCUGAGGCUCGAAAGUGUGGGUAGCAAACAGGAUUAGAUACCCUGGUAGUCCACACCGUAAACGAUGAUUACUAGGUGUUGGAGGAUAGACCCCUUCAGUGCCGUAGUUAACACAAUAAGUAAUCCACCUGGGGAGUACGACCGCAAGGUUG
rnacentral:rRNA from 1 species